CUUCAAACCAUACUUAUGAGCACACCUCCAGUUGACAUUUUUUACAUGAAUAAGGAAAAGCUUUCAGGUUUCCUUAUGUGGGCACUUUCUACUGCCUUGAAGUCUGAUUCGCUGAAAAUAUUUCACCAUAAAGUCAGUCUGAUGAUCAUCUCAGAGGAAACACCAUCCGAUGAGACUUUGAUCUCAAAACUCUUACGUUGGCUUGUUGCUGCUGUCAUUCUUGGG
rnacentral:misc_RNA from 1 species